rnacentral:rRNA from 1 species
AUGCCUGGAGCAGAUGAGACGUUUCCGGCAGAGUCGAGGGCGACGGUGUUCUUUGGGGCUGUGACAUCUAAAUCGGAGCCGCUGACCUUUGAAGAGUCCCUCAGAUUUGUCAAGAAAGUGAAGGCUCGCAACUACAUGCUGUACCUGUCGCUGUUUGACAUCCUGGGCAGGACAGAGCUGUCCCAGCUGGAGGCCUACCAAACACUGCAGCUGCUGUUCCGCGACCACCCGGACCUGCACGAAGGGCUGGAGAAGUUCAGGCCCCCGAUGCCCACGAAGCACGCCGCGGCGAACAGCAACCUCUGGCCGUGGGUGUUUGCGUGCGCCGCCGUCCCUCUGGUGGCGAUGAGCCUGAUCCCGGCGCUGGGGAACCCGGUGCUGUGGCUCGUCCAGCAGACGCUCGGCGAGAAGAUGAGGGCGGCAUGA